UACGGGGGGAGCAAGCGUUGUUCGGGAUUUACUGGGCGUAAAGGGCGGCGUAGGCGGCGUGACAAGUCACUUGUGAAAUCUCCGGGCUUAACUCGGAACGGUCAAGUGAUACUGUCGUGCUAGAGUACAGAAGGGGCAACUGGAAUUCUCGGUGGUAGCGGUGAAAUGCGUAGAUAUCGAAGAGGAACACCUGCGGCGAAGGCGGUUCUCUGGGACGGUACUGACGCUGAGACGCGAAAGCGUGGGGAGCGAACAGG
rnacentral:rRNA from 1 species